CUCAAAUUCAGCACUUAUUUUGCUGACAACAAUCAGUUAGAAUGGCAUUGGAAGUAUUAGAACGUUCAUCGUUACUGUGCCACUCACCUUCUUCAGAGCAGCGCGAACCAACUGCCUCUGACCAGGUGAGACGGUUCCGUCCCUCUCCUGCCUCUGACCAGGUGAGACGGUUCCGUCCCUCUCCUGCCUCUGACCAGGUGAGACGGUUCCGUCCCUCUCCUGCCUCUGACCAGGUGAGACGGUUCCGUCCCUCUCCUGCCUCUGACCAGGUGAGACGGUUCCGUCCCUCUCCUGCCUCUGACCAGGUGAGACGGUUCCGUCCCUCUCCUGCCUCUGACCAGGUGAGACGGUUCCGUCCCUCUCCUGCCUCUGACCAGGUGAGACGGUUCCGUCCCUCUCCUGCCUUUGACCAGGUGAGACGGUUCCGUCCAUCUCCUGCCCACUGACCAGCUCCCACACCUGUUAAACAAUCAGUCAAUCAAAUGUAUCGAUAAAGCAGUUUUUAGAUCAAAAGAGUGAGAAUAAGGGGUUUUACAGUAACCCGGCCUGGACUCCAGACUGCAAGCAGAGGCACACAUUAGCAAAGAAAAACUCAACAUCCAAAAUGGCACCCGAUUCACUACAUAGUGCACUACUUUUCACCAGGGUCCAGGUCAAAACUAGGGCACUAUUUAGGGAAUCGGGUGGCAUUUUGGACACCCGACCUACCUGUCCCCUGGUCCUCCUCCUCAGCUUGACCUUGAUGGAGAUCUGAGUGUUCUCCAGCCUCUGUCCGGUCAGCCACUUCCUCCCAACCGCACCUCACAAUCACAUCACAUCUUAUUUACAACGCAGUUAAAAAUGUCAACACACUUUACAGUACAUGACACAGAUACAAAUAAACAACAUGCUAAAUAUGAGGUUCAUAAAAUAACUAUAAAACCCCAAAGGAUGUGAAAAAUAAGUCAAAUGGUUGAUUCAAGGCCCCAGGGUUUGAAAGAUGACUUAAAAACCUCAACUAUCAUCCCCUCAUACCUCUCCUCUCCUGACACUCCCCUGUUCCUCCUUCCUCUGCGCUCCCAGUGUGUGGUGUCAGCUGCUGCUCCCUCAUCUUCUCCAUCCUCCUCUCCGUCACACCGUUCUCCGCCACAGAGCAUUCUGGGACGGCACUCUUCUCCCGGGGUGUCGUGGGGUGGUCCGAAUCGUCACUCGGGGCGACCAUGUCACCGCUCAGGACAACAGAGGACGAUGAGAGGUUUGUGACCUCCGGUUCGGAGGUCCGAGGGUGGGUUCUAAAGGGAGCUGUGCCACAGCUGACCGUUGCUUUGACGCUGGGUGGGGUGGAACUGGGGGUCAUAAUCUGGGGACUCAGGGAAGGAGGUGCCGUGUGAGUUGUGUGCUGCUGCCCUUCACUGCUGCUCUGGACUAGUAGGAGAGGUGGAGGUGAGGGUGUGGAUGUAGGGAGAGCAUCAGGGAGGGGACUGAGGAAAGUCAUGUAAAUACCUCCAUUACAGUCCACAGUCUGGGUCCCCGUCUCCACCAACGCCCCCACGUCCACCUGUGUGUCUCCUCCCUCCGUCUGCACCCCCACAUCUCUAAGACUGCACCUCCUCUCCCCCUCUCCCUCCCUCCCCCGGUCCUUCCACCCCUCCACCAAGCGGCCUAUGCCCAGCUUACAGGCAGCGGCCAUAACCUCUUCUUGUUCCAUGGUGCCCUCUCCCUCCAGCUCUCCGGAGUACAGGAGAUCCACCAGCUUCAGCAGGGUCUGGGCCUUCACAGCCUGGAGCUUGAGUGGCCAUCUCUGCCCAGCCGGGAGGGGGAAUGACUGGUUGGACAGGGCCUUGGACAGGUAGGGGCUCAGGGCAGCCAGGACGCAGCUGUGGGCCGGGACUGACAAACCUGUGGGAAGAAAGAAAUGUGACAUCAUUAGCUACAUUUAUAAUGCAGGUUAGGAAA
rnacentral:lncRNA from 1 species